rnacentral:lncRNA from 1 species
UAGUCUAUAAACACUAAAGCCGAAGUCAUUCAGAUGUAAAUCAAGCUAUAAGCUUGCAAAGAGAAGCAUGACCAUUCUACAAUGUUUAUAGAUUAUUAUCAUCCUUAAAAAAGUCUAAUGGAAAAAUGAGAUAAAAAUAGAGAAAGAGGUCAGCACUGAGUAAUGAAAUGAAAGACAAAUCUGUCCAACUGAGAACCUCUCCCUCAUGUAGUCAGUGGCCUUGAAGGGGAUCUGCAUAUCAUAGGAUCAACUGGGGAUUUGUUAAAACAUAGCUAUGUGUAUCCAAAUAAAGAGAGUGCUGGAAUAAGUAGGUUACAGUUUGGUUUAACCUAAUAGGCUUGCAUAAACACUGCAUAUAAUUUCAAAUGAAUAAAAUAUUUUUUGUAGGAUCAAGGAGAACAUAGUUGGUUAAUCUUCAGAGUAAGUUUCAGCUACAGUAAUCUGAAGGACCAUUAAAAACUAAUUGUUGUGGUAAGUAACUAAAGAGGUGCAAGUAUAGUUAAAUUCAUAAGAUAAUAAUGGCAUUCAUGAUAGCAUAAUUUUCAGCUGUAAUUAAAUUCAGCUCAUGCUUCCCGCUGUCAUAGUUGGUAAUUAAAUUCUAGCUGCUUACCAUGCCCACAGCUCAUGCCUCUCGAUGUCUUCAUCUUUUUCGCGGCACUACUCCUCUAAAAUUGGGUUCUCCCAGCCGGCCAAAUGUCAGUCUGCUGUUGUAGCUCGUACAGCCGCGCAGCUGCCCCUCCGCCUCUGGCACCAUCUGUAAGACCGGCGUCAUUGCCACACCAGUCAUUAACGCAUACCAUAUGGAGACGUCUGCUCGACGAUGGAGAACACGGAGGCUAUGUAGAGAUUCAUACAGUCGGAGGUUUAAAUGGUAGAUAACUGAUACUUCGUGACCUUUCCAAAACCUACUAACUAAAGUUGUGUCGUCAAGAAAAUGUUGUGUUAGAAAAUCAAUAUCAGUCACCCAUGAGAUAAUUUGAUUGCACGGGAAACAGAGCAUCAUUUUUGUAGACGGAAGGAGGAAAUACCAAAUCCAGUCUUUACUAAAAUUGGGCAUGCACUUUCAGUAUGAAAAAACUAAAGCAAAAUAUGAAAGCUAGCGAAUCUCAGUUCCUAACACAAACAUCCAUCGGUAAAAUAUGUAAAAAACACAGAAGUAAUACGACAUAACCAACAGUGCGCAAAGAGAUAUACUACAGAUAUGAUGUUCGUCAGUCAAGUAGGAAUAGUACUUGCCUGGAUAUAAGAGGAUUCUCAUUGUGGUUGUUUCCUUCUGUGAGCAACUGAUGGGCUAUCUCAUCUGUAUCAUCCCAAACAAAAGAAACUGAGCAAGAAACUUCCUAUUGAUGUUGUUCAAUCCAUCAAAAAAGAACCGAUGUUGUUCAACCUUAACGGUUGUAACUUGUAAGUUCAUAUAUGAUCAAAACUAAAAUGCAACCCCAUCCCAUGAGUGCAAGGAAAGUGGCGGACGCAGGAGCUGUAAUCUGUCAGGUGAUUAUAAGCGUUUUCCAUGUCUUGUUGGUUUCCUGCUCCAUCAGAAAUACAGUUACAAUUACUGCAAAAAUGAGGAAAAUGCAGAAGCAUGUAGUCGAUACACAUGCAAGUGUAGCAUGUGAAAUACCACUACAGCUUACCUCGCCGGACUGAACUAUGAUCUAGAGACCUUGACAGAAGUGCUCGGAUUCUAAUUAAGAUCUCCAGCUAUUGACUAAUUCAAUCAAUUCAAGUUGUGGGUAUUGUACAAAUUGCAGGUAAAUAUGUGAGCAAAGGUUGUCACAGUCCAAGUCCGUGUCCUUAUGUAAACAAAUCCUUGUAAAUGUGUGAACAAACUGAUGGGAGGUAAAAUGGAACGGUGUCUUAAAAAAUUGGAAACCAAGUUCUUAGCCCAAUUUCCCUUUAUCUUGUUUUUACCUUGCUUCUGCUAAUAAAAAGAUUGUUUUCACGUAAACAGUUCAAAUGCACACUCUGAUCUUUUCCUAAACCAUCUCGCAAUGACAAAAGAAUUGCAUUCAGAGAAAUCACAUUUACCUCAGCACAACACCCUGAUCAAAUAGUCAUCUCCAUCAAUGUAGACCAACCAUCAUGCAAGGCACCUAUAAUUUACUUUGUUAUCAUCACAGCAUGGAAAAUCUGACGUGCAAAGAACAUUAUACUUGCAUAAUCUAAUCACCGUAAGUAGAACAAUAUUCUUCCGCGAUCUCAACAUAAAUUCAAUUGCAACAGAAUCAGAACCGACGCAUCACAGGAUAGAUCAAACAAUUCCAUGGUAAAGUUAUUUGGAGCGAGUGUUUUUUCAGUGGGAUAAGUGUUCCAUUUGGAGUGGAAUUUUGAGAUGCCUGCACGUUGUACUAUUUUCUGAUGUAUUAUAUCAUAUUCUUAGAAGCUAAAUGUAGUUUGAAUAUAAGACAAACACCAUGAAGCUACCUAUCAUUAUGCUUUGCUUUCUCUACCUGCAGCUUUGUUUUCACCUCAGAUCCGUAAGGAGGAGUGCAGACAGAGAAUUGUACAGAGGGAAAAUAUUUUCAGACACACUUGGCUUAUCACCAGACAAUCCAUCUAAGUAUUAGCACAGAAUGUGGAACUACAAAUCACCAUCUCCACUCCACCAGUAGUUCAAAAUCUCUCGGGACUUUUAACCUGACACAACAUAUGCUAAUAUACCUAUACAUGUAUCAGUUGUAAUUUUAGCUAGCUAGGAGCAGAGGUAAUUAGGAAGUAAAGCUUGUUAUUGUUGUACCUGGAACUAAGGCCAGAUGAGAAGCACCGCAGCAGCUGUUCCAAUUUUGUUUUCUCUGUUCAGAGAACAACACUAUCUGAAGGAAUUGCUGACAGUUCCAGCGCUUCGUUCAACAGACCAACCACACAACAUGGGUGUCUACAAUCACAAGAAGGCAACAAUAUCUAAACUGACGUACUUCGCAACAAUUAGAAGGUACAUAGAGAAACAGGGGACAGAAAAAUAACUCAAAACAGGGGUCAAGGGGAUACACAUCUCUACUGUAGCCGAAGCAGGCGACAUUGGACAGCUCGACGGCUGUUCUUCUACCUUCGGCGAACUCGGCGCUUCUUCUACGUCCAGCGAACUCGGCGCUUCUUCCUGUGGCGAAC